GACGAACGCUGGCGGCGUGCUUAACACAUGCAAUUCGAACGAUGAUCUCCCGCUUGCGGGGGUGAUUAGUGGCGAACGGGUGAGUAAUACGUGAGUAACCUGCCCUUGACUCUGGGAUAAGCCUGGGAAACCGGGUCUAAUACUGGAUACUACUUCCUGCCGCAUGGUGGGGGGUGGCAAGGGUUUUACUGGUUUUGGAUGGGCUCACGGCCUAUCAGCUUGUUGGUGGAGUAAUGGGUCACCAAGGCGACGACGGGUAGCCGGCCUGAGAGGGUGACCGGACACACUGGGACUGAGACACGGCCAAGACUCCUACGGGAGGCAGCAGUGGGGAAUAUUGCACAAUGGGCGGAAGCAUGAUGCAGAGACGCCGCGUGAGGGAAGACGGACUUCGGGUUGGAAACCUCUUUCAGCAGGGAAGAAGCCACAAGUGACGGUACCUGCAGAAGAAGCGCCGGCUAACUACGUG
rnacentral:rRNA from 1 species